ACAGAGCAGUUCCCUGUUGGCAGGCCAGGCAGUAACAUUGCCUGGCUGCAAGGCUGCAUGCAACAUCCAGGAGGCAACAACUCAUCCAUAUGCACUAAGAGUUACAAAAGAGUCCCAAUCCAGACACAGCUAACGAGUGAAAGCUCGGGGAACGUUGUUAGCUGGGAUUCAUUCAAGCAUGAACUCCAGCUCUGUUGUUAGAUCUGAUUCUUUAACAACGUCUCUGGUCUUCUGGCACCACUCAGGAAACACAAAGGAGCCACAACUGGCCAUCAGAGACUUCUCUUGUUGGAAGGCGACUCCCUCCUGGCUAAAAUACUCUAGCUCUGGAUCCUCUGUGUCUGACCCUCACUCCUGCAAUAAAAAGAAGCAUGUUGAAGAGAGAGAGAGAGGGCAGAGCAGAGCUGCAUAGGAUGUUAAACCAGCCAGACAACUUACAGCUGCCUGUCAGCAACCUUCAUUUGCCUUGCAGCUAAGGCCGGCCCCUAGAAAUAGGAAGUUAGGUCUCUGGUUUCAAAUUCUACAUGCACGAGUAUGGACAUUAAGAUGGAGAGUUUCCCCACCCGCCUCUG